GAUGAACGCUGGCGGCGUGCUUAACACAUGCAAGUCGAACGAUGAAAGCGGGAGCUUGCUCCUGCUGGAUUAGUGGCGAACGGGUGAGUAACACGUGAGCAAUCUGCCCCGAACUCUGGGAUAAGCGUUGGAAACGACGUCUAAUACCGGAUACGACGCGCGAAGGCAUCUUCUGCGCGUGGAAAGAACUUCGGUUCGGGAUGAGCUCGCGGCCUAUCAGCUAGUUGGUGAGGUAACGGCCCACCAAGGCGACGACGGGUAGCCGGCCUGAGAGGGUGACCGGUCACACUGGGACUGAGACACGGCCCAGACUCCUACGGGAGGCAGCAGUGGGGAAUAUUGCACAAUAGGCGCAAGCCUGAUGCAGCAACGCCGCGUGAGGGACGACGGCCUUCGGGUUGUAAACCUCUUUUAGUAGGGAAGAAGCGAAAGUGACGGUACCUGCAGAAAAAGCACCGGCUAACUACGUGCCAGCCGCCGCAGUAAAAC
rnacentral:rRNA from 1 species